GACGAACGCUGGCGGCGUGCUUAACACAUGCAAGUCGAACAGUGGCGAACGGGUGAGUAACACGUGAGUAACCUGCCCUCCACUUGGGGAUAACUCCGAGAAAUCGGGGCUAAUACGGGAUAGUGGGGGAUGGGCUCGCGGCAUAGAAGUUUGUUGGUGAGGUAGUGGUCACCAAGGCGUGACGGGUAGCCGGCCUGAGAGGGCGACCGGCCACACUGGGAAUGCGACACGGCCCAGACUCCUACGGGAGGCAGCAGUGGGGAAUAUUGCACCAUGUGCGAAAGCCUGAUGCAGCGACGCCGCGUGGGGGAUGCCGGCCUUCGGGUUGUAACCCUCUUUCAGCAAGGACGCGGUACUUGCAGAAGAAGCGCCGGCUAACUACGUGCCAGCAGCCGCGGUAAUUC
rnacentral:rRNA from 1 species